AGAGUUUGAUCCUGGCUCAGAACGAACGCUGGCGGCAGGCUUAACACAUGCAAGUCGAACGCCCCGCAAGGGGAGUGGCAGACGGGUGAGUAACGCGUGGGAAUCUACCGUGCCCUGCGGAAUAGCUCCGGGAAACUGGAAUUAAUACCGCAUACGCCCUACGGGGGAAAGAUUUAUCGGGGUAUGAUGAGCCCGCGUUGGAUUAGCUAGUUGGUGGGGUAAUGGCCUACCAAGGCGACGAUCCAUAGCUGGUCUGAGAGGAUGAUCAGCCACAUUGGGACUGAGACACGGCCCAAACUCCUACGGGAGGCAGCAGUGGGGAAUAUUGGACAAUGGGCGCAAGCCUGAUCCAGCCAUGCCGCGUGAGUGAUGAAGGCCCUAGGGUUGUAAAGCUCUUUCACCGGUGAAGAUAAUGACG
rnacentral:rRNA from 1 species